GCUACAACUAAAGAAUGAAAUAAAGAAUAAAACAAAAAAACAAAAAAAACAAAAGUCCACCCAAAUCCGAACUGUUGUGUUCAAGAAGCUUCUAGGCCACCAAUCCCAACUUUAGUCGGUUAUAGUUCUUGCCUUUUCUGAUCUCUCCAUCUUCUCCAUCGUCUCCAUCCGAUUUGAAACCAAUUCUCUAAAAGCAGCUCAGUUCAGCGAUCUUAUCCAUCUCCGGUCAUUUUCCAGUGAAACCGCGACAUAUUCGAGCACUCCUCUUCUCUGGGACUAAAUUAAGGCAAAAGGAAAUUUGAGGGCAAAAGGUGUGAAUUUAAAGACAAAAUAGGUCAGCAUGCAAAAUAGGGAAUAAGUGGUGCAGUGAAUACAAAGUGUGGAAGACUUAGGGAAAAUUUUCAAAGAAAAGAUUUAUGGACAUAAAAAUUUGUUUAAAUUUGAAUUCUAUUUUUAGGAUUAUUGUUAGGAUUACUAUUACAUUGUUCAGAUUUAAUUUUAAAUUAUAUCUCUUAAACAUUAUCAUCUAGAGUUUAAAUAGGAACCAACUAAGGUCUUUCAUGUAAUAUAAAUAGGGGAUGAAGUGACAUAAAUAUUCACUCAUCACUUUUGUAAAAAAACUCCUUCCCCUUAAGACUCUUAGCCUUUUGUUUCUGUUCUUUCUCAAUAAAAUUUCGUUUCAUCAAA